AUCCAGAUGACGUGUCCUAAAUAGGACGAAACGCGCGUCCUGGUU
rnacentral:hammerhead_ribozyme from 1 species